AAGUCAAAGGAGAGGAAGUAGAUAUCACCCAGGCUGUGAAGACGUUCACAACUCUUUAACAUUUCUCUGAAAUCCGAGAAACACUUCGAUGACACCAAUUGGUCCCCGGCAACGGCGCCAAAAACUUGACUCGUUCUGAGUUGUGCUUCCAAGUGUAAAAGUGUCAAGUUGUAUCAAGGAUGAGUCCAGGAUCGUACUCCACAGGGACCACUGAGUAUCAAAAUAUUUAUAAAAGUUUAGUGAAAUCCUGUUGCUGAAAAAUGGGUUUUGAAAAUCUUUUUUUUGUCUUUUACGAUUUUGAAAACAGUAAACAAAGUGAGAGAAGCUUGAGUAAACUAUCAAAAUGAAACUGAAAUUUUAUCAAUUUUCCAAAAAUGUAAAUCUAAUAAUGCAACCAAAACUAAACAGAUUAAUUGAAACAAUUUUACCAAACGCUCGGGUUACGGGUCCAACGUUUAUUUGCUUCCACCGUUUACUAAUUUCCUAGGCCUUACUUCUUUUCUUGUUAAUCCAAUCAAGGCAUUAAUAAAAUGAAAUUUUAUUACUAACGAUCGAGUAAAUUAGCCACAUCCAAACGGAAGAAAAUAAAAACUCUUAUUAUGCAUUAACCGAAUUUUAUGUAAAAAUAAGUUGAUUAAAAUCCUAGAUUAAAUCAAGGUUUUGAUGUGCCUAACGUCAACAACAAAACAAGAGGCAAGAGCUAGCGAUUUAUCAACGAUUCCUUCAAUUUCGGGUUCAACCAAAUAAAAGUUUAUCAAUAAUUUAUUAGAAAAACUAAUAAACCAUAGAAAACAAAUGACAUUGACCCACAACCCGAGUUACCGAACUUAGCCACUCAUGCUUGCAAUCGCCCAAAAAACGGGAACCCUAUGUCUAAUCAGACAAGUAUCGAAACACGCGUUGACUAAAAACGAUAACUUUAAACACAUAACUAAAAUAUGCACGAAUGAAAACUCAAUUAAACACAUGUGCAGAUAAUAAAAAUCAAAGCUUUAGCAAAAUUAUGAAUAGAAAUAAUUAAGUGAAAAGAACAACUAUUCUAAUUUCUAAAAGAAAACAAAAAAUAUUUUUUUUUUCUUUUAUUUUAUUUUAGAACCAAGCCAAACUUAAUUUAAUUAAAGAAAGAACUUCAAUAAAAAUUAAAUAUUAAACAAAACCUAAACUUGUAUCCAAAUCCAAUCAAAUAACAAAAUAAGAAAGCAAGAUAAAAGAAAAGAGAGAGAGAGAGAAGAUGCAGCAACAGAGGAGCUGCUGCUGGCCUGCUGUAGCGGUGGCAGCUUGUAGCUCUGCUAGCUGGCCGUGGAGGCUGUUGGAGGGCUGAAAAUUUGGAGCAGACAGCAGAGGAGCUGCUGCUGGUGUUGCCGGAUGGUGGUUCGGGUCAGAGGAGAUACAAGGGAGAGUUCAGGGACUGCUGCUGCUGUGCAGGCUGUAGCAAGAUGAAGGCCGAAGGGACUACUGCAGCGAAGGAGAAACAGGGGAAAGAGGAAGCAAAGAGAGAGAUCACUGAGGAGAGAGGGAAAGAAAAGACAAAUUAGAGAGGAAGAGAAGAGAUUAGCUGGGAAAAAAAGAGUGAGAGGAAGAAUAAGUAGGAGAAAAUAAAAGAGAGAUAACAGAGAAUGCAAAGACAAGAAGAAGAAAAGAAAAAACAGAGGAGAAGAGAGUGGGAGAGAUGGUGCGCAGGGCACCCGCACACCGGGAAGAAGAAGAAGAUGUUAAAUAAGGGAAGAGGGAACCACAGCUGCCCUCGACCCGUGAAGCCAUCAAGCUGACCCGGUUAUCCAACUCGACCCGAAUUGGAAAGGGUUGACCCGGUAACUUGAUUUUUUUCAUUUUUUUCAUUCUCUGUUCAUCGCAAAUCUGACUCUUUUGGAGCCCGUUUCUCGCAAAACUCAAAACACGAAAGUUGUAGAUAAUCUUUUCCUCUUUCUCCAGAAAUUUGAAUCAUCUCAAUCGGAAUUCAGACGGAAAAUUUAUGCACGAAAUACGAACAGGUGUCGAUUUUGGUUUUCGAAAAUUUUCCUGCGAUAAAAAAUUCAUAAAUUGUGCAAUGAAACUCAAGAAUGAUAAUUUUUGCACUUUGUUAACAUAUUGGACAAUUUUGGGCAUUUAAUUAAAAAUAUAAACCGUAAAGUCCGGGUUAAGAUGCCCAAUUACACAGUUUUGACGCGUAAUCAACCACCCAACCUCUAGCCAAAGUGCCAUUACCUCUUGUUGAAAUGCUAUAUGAAGUGGUUGUAAUGUCUAUUAUUUCUUAAAUACUUUAAAAAUGAGUUGCUGAACCUGAAAAAAACUAAUUUUUGACUCAAAAAUUUAGAAAGCACUUUUUAAAAGAAAAAUCCUAGGGCUUAGGAAUUAAGGUACAAGUUUGGAAGGUCACUAAACCAAAUAAUCUUUUGAGUAGGCCAACUAGCUCCGUCAUUCUUUAUGGCAAAGUUUGUAUUUCUCAAAAAAACAAAACAAAAGAGAGUCAAUGUGCACUGGAGGUUUAACCAAAUAAAGCAUUCGCUUAAAUCCAUCAAUAAAACAAUAUACAAUGAUUAUCCACAUCCAUCACGUAAGAGACAGGAAAAUGGCAUUUUUUAGAGACCAUAGGCUUGCCUUGUUUAUUCAUGGAAGAAGAUAGGAGCAGUGUAAGACAGAUGGGGAUAUUGCUCAAGGAAACAUGUUGGAACAGAAUAAAUAUUAUCAGUGUAGUAUCCUCAUGUGAGAGAGAUAGCCAGAGUUGGGUUUUGGAUUCCUCAGCAUUCUAUUCUUCAAAAUCUUUAAAGCAUUUGACUAGAUCCUUUAAGUCCUUUCCCCUCUGGAAAGCUAAAGUCCCCUCUAAGAAAAAGGUGCUUACUUGGUUGUUCUUAAUAGAGUCACACUACCAUGUCCAAGAAUUUGUUAAGGAGAUGUCUUAUUCCCUUUGCUAUAUAUUCUUAAUCCAUCUAUGAACUUCUUCUUUUGCUGUUCAAAAAAGAAAAAAAAAGAAAAAAAAGAAUUAACACUAACUACCUGUUGCAGAGUAGGAGGCCAUUGAAGGCAUUAUCUUUGGAUGUUGUUUCUUGUGUUUUGAUAGCUCAGAAUCUGCAUCACAUCUUUUUUUACAUUGUUCUUUCUCUUGGGGGAUUUAGAAAAAGUUAUUUGCUGUUUUAGGAGAGAAAUGGGUUUGUCCAGAUUUGGUGGUGGAUUUUAUUAGUAUCUCUUUUACAGGAUUUGGGAAGGGUGUAGAUGGUUUUGUCUUGUGGGUUUGUGGUGUCUUUGCAGUUUUAUGGGGAAUUUGUAUGGAAGGGAAUGCUCAUUAAUCAUUAUCUUCUCAAGGAAGGGGACUUCUGAUACUUUGCUUUGGGAUAGGAUUUAGUACUUGGCUUCUCUCAUCAUUUGCAGCGAACUAUUUUAAAGGGUUGCCUUUCUCGUAUUUUCGCAGAGAUUGGAAGGCAGUUUUAUUUUGAUUGUUUUGUAGUCUAUUUUGGUUUCUUAUUUUCAUAGUGGGGAUCUAAUUCUCCUCUUUGUACAUUCUUUUCUCUACAAUGAAUAUAUCUUCUUUUUCUAUAAUAUACACACACAAAUAUAUAUAUAUAUAUAUAUAUAUAUAUAUAUAUAUAUCAUCAGCCUAAUAUGUUACGCACUCCAUGCAUCAGUAAUUGCCAUAAAAUAAAAUACAAUAAAGUGACUACAUCAGUAAGUAGAAACAGAUAUCUAUAUAUAUAUCUAUAUAUAUAUAUAUAUAUAUAUAUAUAUAUCUUACAAUCUUUAAAAAAGAGAGGAGCCACUAUCUGGAAGGCGUAAGUGGUGUGAACCACACUAUAAGGAUAGUGCAAAGAUAUCUGAAUUAAAAGCCACAAAUAUGAAAGAGAGAAAUAAAUAAAAACAAGCAAGGGAUUAAUUGGCGAAGUGUUUGUGCUUGGGACGAAAUUUCUCUUGAAUAUGGAAUUGUAUCCUUAGUAGUUCACAUGCUCUCACAGAGGCAGUUGACAACACAUUUAAUCACAACAUCAAUCCAAGGAUUUGUGUUGUGUUAUAUUUUUGUAGCUUGGAUAGAAAUUUGAGCCAUCUGCCUGUUGAAUCUUCAAUGGUAUUACGUGAGCUGCAUUCUUAUCUUUCUUGGGUCAUAGUGGGUUGGUUUCCUCUGGUCGCGAGUGUGUGUGUGUAUCUAGCCAAGAGUGUCUAUGGUACAUCUGUGUACAGUUAUUGUAAGAUAUCAUCAUUUGAUCUCAAUUACUCAUUGGUAAUUCAAAUGCCUUUUUUUUUUUUUACUUUUCUCAAUCUUUAUAUUUAUAGUUUUUCACAUGUAUAUGAUUUGUAUCUUAUUGUAAAUUUGUUCUAACGGUUUGUUCACUGAGAGGCUUUCCCUUUUCCUCAUGCAGAUCAUUUCUGCCAUUACUGGAGGAAUUACUGAUCUAUCUUUUCAUACUGUUGGCUAUACAUGGCAAAUUAUUAACUGAUUCUUAACAGCAUCAUAUUCUGUGUGGAAGAAAGAUAUAAUGAGUUUCACUGCAACAUUGAAAUUUUUUGUUUCAAUGGUCGAUGUCACUCUCCUUUUGAAGUAUUUCAAGUGGAAGGAUUUUUGCUUAGGAGCUCUUAAGGCAAAUCGAUGCAUACAACCAUGGGAGGAGGACGAUCCUUGUUCUUGGCAAAUUAAUGAAAGAAUAGUAGUAUGAUAAACUAUAAUCCAAUAAAACAAAAAAUGAAACGGACUGUAUAUUAGUUCAUUUCAUUUUUUUCUUUGUGUAUUUUUAAUGUUGAUUUUAAUUGAAUGAUAUGAUAUGUGCAUUUCUCCUUCA